CAGAGAUCAAGAGUUGUACAUUCUACCAGAAGAGCCAGCCAGAUCCUUAUGAGGACCUAGGAAAAUCUGAUGAUUCUUCUAAGAAACUGGGCUACAGCAAGGAAAAAACCCAGCGGAGAGAAGGUUAAGUUUUUACAAUGGAGAUGUACGUGAAGAAGAAAACUAACAAUUGGGAUAAAAUACGUAAGAAUGAUGGGUCACCUAGAGAUGUCAACAAAAAGAAACACUAGGGAGGUCCAGCGCUGGAACCAAAAAAGGAAAACAAAAUGAGGGUACUAGAACAGAAUUCCACCAAAGACAUACAUCUGUAACACAACUAAAAUUUUUUUAUUUCCACGCUGAAUCCCUACGUUGUAUAUCU